rnacentral:lncRNA from 1 species
AUGGUACCUGAAGCAACUGUUCAGACUGACACAUCAACAUGGAAGACAACAGGGAUCAGUGUCCCAUCUCAACCAACACAUACCACAGACACAGUAUCAUUGGAGCAAUCUAAGACAACCUUUACAUCACAAGAAAGCAAACAAACUCAUUCAGUAACGCCUAUACCUGAUGUGACCACACCAGCCCCUGAAACAAGUAAUCUCCCUGACACAGUAACCCCAGAGCCUGCUGAGACAACCAUGGUACCUACAGCAUCAGUGUCUGAACCAACAGCUCAAACUGACACAUCACCAUCACUGUCUACAGUGACUACGUCAACUCAACCAACUCUUGUGACUGACAGAGUAUCUUUUGAGCCUACAAAGACAACCUUGUUAGCUCAAGAGACCAUGUCAACUGAUUCAGUAGGAUCUGGUCCUACUGAAACCACUUUGCUUCCAGACACGACAGCUUCUACAACAAUAUCUAGGCCCACUGUUACCACCACCGUUGCUGAAUCAAGUAUUUCAACCACUUCUGUGGUAUCUGUGCCUGCCGACACCACAUCCACACCUGAACCUACCACUACCACAGUGACACUUAUCACUGAGCCUGAUAAAACCACCAUGGUACCUGAAGCAACUGUUCAGACUGACACAUCAACAUGGAAGACAACAGGGAUCAGUGUCCCAUCUCAACCAACACAUACCACAGACACAGUAUCAUUGGAGCAAUCUAAAACAACCUUUACAUCACAAGAAAGCAAACAAACUCAUUCAGUAACGCCUAUACCUGCUGUGACCACACCAGCCCCUGAAACAAGUAAUCUCCCUGACACAGUAACCCCAGAGCCUGCUGAGACAACCAUGGUACCUACAGCAUCAAUGUCUGAACCAACAGCUCAAACUGACACAUCACCAUCACUGUCUACAGUGACUACGUCAACUCAACCAACUCUUGUGACUGACAGAGUAUCUUUUGAGCCUACAAAGACAACCUUGUUAGCUCAAGAGACCAUGUCAACUGAUUCAGUAGCAUCUGGUCCUACUGAAACCACUUUGCUUCCAGACACGACAGCUUCUACAACAAUAUCUAGGCCCACUGUCACCACCACCGUUGCUGAAUCAAGUAUUUCAACCACUUCUGUGGUAUCUGUGCCUGCCGACACCACAUCCACACCUGAACCUACCACUACCACUGUGACACUUAUCACUGAGCCUGAUAAAACCACCAUGGUACCUGAAGCAACUGUUCAGACUGACACAUCAACACGGAAGACAACAGGGAUCAGUUUGCCAUCUCAACCAACACAUACCACAGACACAGUAUCAUUCGGAGCAAUCUAA